AUUGAACGCUGGCGGCAGGCCUAACACAUGCAAGUCGAGCGGAUGAGAGAAGCUUGCUUUUCGAUUCAGCGGCGGACGGGUGAGUAAUGCCUAGGAAUCUGCCUGUUAGUGGGGGAUAACUCGGGGAAACUCGGGCUAAUACCGCAUACGUCCUACGGGAGAAAGUGGGGGAUUUUCGGACCUCACGCUAACAGAUGAGCCUAGGUCGGAUUAGCUAGUAGGUGAGGUAAUGGCUCACCUAGGCGACGAUCCGUAACUGGUCUGAGAGGAUGAUCAGUCACACUGGAACUGAGACACGGUCCAGACUCCUACGGGAGGCAGCAGUGGGGAAUAUUGGACAAUGGGCGAAAGCCUGAUCCAGCCAUGCCGCGUGUGUGAAGAAGGUCUUCGGAUUGUAAAGCACUUUAAGUCGGGAGGAAGGGCUGCAGGUUAAUACCUUGCAGCCUUGACGUUACCGACAGAAUAAGCACCGGCUAACUUCGUGCCAGCAGCCGCGGUAAAAC
rnacentral:rRNA from 1 species